GACGAACGCUGGCGGCGUGCUUAACACAUGCAAGUCGAGCGGUAAGGCCCUUUCGGGGGUACACGAGCGGCGAACGGGUGAGUAACACGUGGGUGACCUGCCCUCAGCUCUGGGAUAAGCCUGGGAAACUGGGUCUAAUACCGGAUAUGACUUCGCAUCGCAUGGUGUGGGGUGGAAAGUUUUUCGGCUGGGGAUGGGCCCGCGGCCUAUCAGCUUGUUGGUGGGGUGAUGGCCUACCAAGGCGACGACGGGUAGCCGGCCUGAGAGGGCGACCGGCCACACUGGGACUGAGACACGGCCCAGACUCCUACGGGAGGCAGCAGUGGGGAAUAUUGCGCAAUGGGCGGAAGCCUGACGCAGCGACGCCGCGUGGGGA
rnacentral:rRNA from 1 species